GGGUCAGUAGGUUGGUCGUGCCACCGGUACGUACUGGUCUCACUGAUUCCUCCUUCCUGAAGAACUGUAAUGCCAUUAAUUUGGUGUUGCGGGGAAACAGGACUGUUAUUUUGAAAAAAUUAGAGUGUUUAAAGCAAGCUAACGCUUGAAUACAUUAGCAUGGAAUAAUGAAAUAGGACGAUCGAUCCUAUUUUGUUGGUUUCUAGGAUUGACGUA
rnacentral:rRNA from 1 species